AUUGAACGCUUGCGGCAGGCCUAACACAUUCAAGUCGAGCGAGCGGCGGACGGGUGCGUAAUGUAUGGGGACUGCCCGAUAGAGGGGGAUAACUACUGGAAACGGUAGCUAAUACCGCAUACUAUCGGAUAACCCAUAUGGGAUUAGCUAGUAGGUUCGGUAAUGGCUCACCUAGGGGACGAUCCCUAGCUGGUCUGAGAGGAUGAUCAGCCACACUGGAACUGAGACACGGCCCAGACUCCUACGGAGGCAGCAGGGGGGAAUAUUGGACAAUGGGCGCAAGCCUGAGGCAGCCAUGCCGCGUGUAUGAAGAAGGCCCUAGGGUUGUAAAGUACUUUCAGUCGGGAGGCGUGACCGACAGAAGAAGCACAGGCUAACUCCGUGCCAGCAGCCGCGGUAAUAC
rnacentral:rRNA from 1 species